rnacentral:rRNA from 1 species
GAUGAACGCUGGCGGCGUGCCUAAUACAUGCAAGUCGAGCGAAUGGAUUAAGAGCUUGCUCUUAUGAAGUUAGCGGCGGACGGGUGAGUAACACGUGGGUAACCUGCCCAUAAGACUGGGAUAACUCCGGGAAACCGGGGCUAAUACCGGAUAACAUUUUGAACCGCAUGGUUCGAAAUUGAAAGGCGGCUUCGGCUGUCACUUAUGGAUGGACCCGCGUCGCAUUAGCUAGUUGGUGAGGUAACGGCUCACCAAGGCAACGAUGCGUAGCCGACCUGAGAGGGUGAGCGGCCACACUGGGACUGAGACACGGCCCAGACUCCUACGGGAGGCAGCAGUAGGGAAUCUUCCGCAAUGGACGAAAGUCUGACGGAGCAACGCCGCGUGAGUGAUGAAGGCUUUCGGGUCGUAAAACUCUGUUGUUAGGGAAGAACAAGUGCUAGUUGAAUAAGCUGGCACCUUGACGGUACCUAACCUGAAAGCCACGGCUAACUACGUGCCAGCAGCCGCGGUAA